rnacentral:rRNA from 1 species
UACAGAGGGUGCAAGCGUUAAUCGGAAUUACUGGGCGUAAAGCGCGCGUAGGCGGCUUGAUAAGAUGGGUGUGAAAUCCCCGGGCUUAACCUGGGAACUGCAUCCAUAACUGUCUGGCUAGAGUACAGUAGAGGGUGGUGGAAUUUCCUGUGUAGCGGUGAAAUGCGUAGAUAUAGGAAGGAACACCAGUGGCGAAGGCGACCACCUGGACUGAUACUGACGCUGAGGUG